rnacentral:rRNA from 1 species
ACGGAAGGCAGCAGUGGGGAAUAUUGCACAAUGGGGGAAACCCUGAUGCAGCAACGCCGCGUGCGGGAAGACGGUCUUCGGAUUGUAAACCGCUUUUCUUAGUGAAGAAACAAAUGACGGUAGCUAAGGAAUAAGCAUCGGCUAACUACGUGCCAGCAGCCGCGGUAAUACGUAGGAUGCGAGCGUUGUCCGGAUUUACUGGGUGUAAAGGGAGCGCAGGCGGGACUGCAAGUUGGAUGUGAAAUGUCGAGGCUUAACCUCGGAACUGCAUCCAAAACUGUAGUUCUUGAGUGGAGUAGAGGCAAGCGGAAUUCCGAGUGUAGCGGUGAAAUGCGUAGAUAUUCGGAGGAACACCAGUGGCGAAGGCGGCCUGCUGGGCUCUAACUGACGCUGAGGCACGAAAGUGUGGGUAGCAAACAGGAUUAGAUACCCUGGUA